AGUGAGCGCUGGCGGCGUGCCUAAUACAUGCAAGUCGAACGAUGAAGUCCUAGCUUGCUCGGAUGGAUUAGUGGCGCACGGGUGAGUAAUAUAUAGUUAAUCUGCCCUACACAGAGGAACAACAGUUGGAAACGACUGCUAAUACCUCAUACUCCUAUUUGACAUAAGUUAAAUAGGGAAAGUCUUUUCGGUGUAGGAUGAGACUAUAUCGUAUCAGCUAGUUGGUAAGGUAAUGGCUUACCAAGGCUAUGACGCGUAACUGGUCUGAGAGGAUGAUCAGUCACAUUGGAACUGAGACACGGUCCAAACUCCUACGGGAGGCAGCAGUAAGGAAUAUUGCGCAAUGGGGGAAACCCUGACGCAGCAACGCCGCGUGGAGGAUGACACUUUUCGGAGCGUAAACUCCUUUUAUCAGGAAAGAAUAAUGACGGUACCUGAUGAAUAAGCACCGGCUAACUCCGUG
rnacentral:rRNA from 1 species